CAGGGAGUACAACAUUCCUGGGAAUAUAAUAUAACCCUUCUGCCAAACAUGAGAAAUGAUUUCCCAGUUUAUCUCAUUACUGGGAAUGGCAUGCCACUCCCCUCUACCAAACACCACUUAAAAAUUUUCAUCUGGGCAGGACAUGGAAGAAAAGUUUCCUUACUGCAAACCCACCCACUUCUUGAAGCUUAAUGCUGCUUCUCUCUUUUUUAGUUGUGCUUCUGUCUGGAAUUUGGGAGCUUUUCCCUUAUGAAGUGUUUUAUGGUACUUCAAGAAGAGGGUUCGAUACUUGUACUUGUCAAUGAACAUGUUCCCUUUCUCCAUCAUAUCAACAACUUCAUUUGCCCGAACAAAAAAUCCACCUCUAACAAAUGUAUAAAGUACAGAAUCCAGGAGUUCCUGAUCAAACAACAUUGAGGUGGCUGAAGCAAGA
rnacentral:misc_RNA from 1 species